rnacentral:rRNA from 1 species
GACGAACGCUGGCGGCGUGCCUAAUACAUGCAAGUUGAGCGCUGAAGGUUGGUACUUGUACCAACUGGAUGAGCAGCGAACGGGUGAGUAACGCGUGGGGAAUCUGCCUUUGAGCGGGGGACAACAUUUGGAAACGAAUGCUAAUACCGCAUAAAAACUUUAAACACAAGUUUUAAGUUUGAAAGAUGCAAUUGCAUCACUCAAAGAUGAUCCCGCGUUGUAUUAGCUAGUUGGUGAGGUAAAGGCUCACCAAGGCGAUGAUACAUAGCCGACCUGAGAGGGUGAUCGGACACAUUGGGACUGAGACACGGCCCAAACUCCUACGGGAGGCAGCAGUAGGGAAUCUUCGGCAAUGGACGAAAGUCUGACCGAGCAACGCCGCGUGAGUGAAGAAGGUUUUCGGAUCGUAAAACUCUGUUGGUAGAGAAGAACGUUGGUGAGAGUGGAAAGCUCAUCAAGUGACGGUAACUAUCCAGAAAGGGACGGCUAACUACGUG